rnacentral:misc_RNA from 1 species
UCUCCGCUGGUGAACCAGCGGAGGGAUCAUUACAGAGUUGCAAAACUCCCAAACCAUUGUGAACGUUACCUAUCCCGUUGCUUCGGCGGGCGGCCCGGGCCCCGCGCCCGGCGCCCCCCGGCCCCCCGUGGGCGCCCGCCGGAGGUAAACCAAACCCUUGAAUUGCAUGGCCUCUCUGAGUCCUCUGUACUGAAUAAGUCAAAACUUUCAACAACGGAUCUCUUGGUUCUG